rnacentral:tRNA from 1 species
GUCUCCGUAGCUCAGUUGGUAGAGCAUCUGACUCUUAAUCAGAGGGCCGUGGGUUCGAAUCCCUCCGGGGACA